rnacentral:lncRNA from 1 species
AGAGAGCCCAUGAUUGGGUGGUUUUGCUUUGUGCGCUGCCUAGGUGCCGAGUUUUGCUGGGUGUACGAAAGGUGGACUUGGGCUAAGAGGGCGGAGCGCACAGGUUAGACUUGGGCAAUUUCAGAGCAACUUCGUGGGCACUGAAACCUGAAGUGGCUGCGUUGUGCGGUGUACCAAUGCCCAGUCUGUCCGGGUUAGGACGUGGGCGACGGAUCUGUACCUGUUGACCAAUGAGAACUUGAGAUGCCGUGGGAACCCAGAGAAAACAUGGGUAGGGAGAUCUUCCUGGAAAGGGAUUAAACCCAGGCCCUUGUGCAUGCAGGGCAGCUCCUAUAUCUAUGUGCUAGAUGAAAUGAGGGAAGAUAAGGGGAGAGUAAAAAGAAUGUAGAAGAAAAAAGAUGGAGAAAAAAGGGAAGAAAAUGAUGAUAAGGUAUCAAUGAUGGCAGCAGCAUUUCCUGACUUCUGUACACACUGUUCAUCCUUUGCAGUGUCAUGGUCACACACCUGUUGUCUGUAUGUGUGGCUCCACGUUGGUCCAUGUUUUCUUCACCAAUACCUCACUGUCUGGACCACUAUGGCUUUGGAAUAUAUCGUGUGCCCUGGGAGGUGGUUUCCCAUCUUGUUCUCAAGAUUGAUCUGUCCUUGUCCCUGUUACCUCCAAAGUCAAUUAUAGAAGUAAUUUAAGCUCCAUGAAAACUUCAGUGUAUACAUCAUUAAAAUGUACUUGAAAUUUUAUAUGAAGUGGAGAUAACUAGUAACCUUAUGACUUUUUAGUUAUUUGUAAUGAAUGUAUCAUAACUCUCCUUUCAUUUUGGUUUUUAAUAACUAUUAGUGAUGUUUUAUACAUUUAUUCCUAAUGAUAAUGCAUGGUUUUGUAUUUAAACUAAUGUAUCUCAUCAUCUGUUUCCUGUUUAAAUAAAUUUUAAAUCAAAAUUUCUUAGAACUGUAGAGAGAUAACAUAUUAGUCUAAUUAUUUUAUAUUCAUAGAUUUAUGGAAAUUUGUAUACUUAUAGUUUGG